GGGGGAGGGGACGGGGCCGGGGAGGGGGCGGUAAGGAGCUCGGAAGAGGGGCGAGACGGGCCCCCGGCGCCUCCGGUCGGUCAGAGAGCGGCGGGGCGCGUCUGCAGCCCUCCAAGCCGCCUCCUGCGCGCCGGGUCCCCGCGCCCGCUGCUGCUGCUGCUGCCCGCCGCCUGCGUGCGCUCCAGGAGCGCCGACAUCCUCGGGGCACCGCGCCCAGCCCGCUCCCUGGGGCGCCCGCUCGCGCCGCGCCUGGGCCUCGCGCCGCCUUCAGUGGCCCCGGCGGCCGGUCGCGGGGUGCCGGGUGCCCGCCACCCGCAUUCCGACACAGAGGGCCUGCCUGGCCGCCGCGAUCUUCGGCGGCUGCUCCGCGAGCCCGGGCGGUGAGGUGCACCUGUUCUUCAGCCGGCCCGCAGCCAACCCUCGGCCAGCACUCUUCUGGAGAGACCAAUCCCAGCGCAGCGCGGAGGGCUAGCGGCCCGGCUCGCCUUGCUCCAGCCGUUCGCUGCUGCGCGCCGCUGCCGCCGCCGCCGGAGAGUCAAACUCCAGCGAACAGCGCCGCUGUCGCCGCCGCGAGCCAGGGGCUGGGGGCGCACCGGGCGCCCGCGGCGGGUGCGGUCUGACCCGCCUCCGAGGGACCCAACAAGCAGGCAGAGGAUCGGAAAUCACGCCCCGGCGCCCUGCCCGGUUGAGCGUGGGGGACGGAAGCGGGAGACUGCGUCGGGGGUCCCGGGGAACGCAGACCCCGGGCUGAGGGCGUCUCCAGACGGGCUCUGGCUGCCAGGCUGGGGGAGAGCCAAACGUUACACUGAAGAGACUGCAGAGAGCAGAGGAUGCAUUGAAACAGGAAGCCCCUGGGGUUUGGUGCCUACCAGAGUACUUUGCACAGACAAGGUUAAUAAAUUAUUUUUGAUGGCAGUAAUGCGGCUGUCACCUCUUUCAGCUAUAACAUUGAGACUUUCCCCAUAGGAAAGCUUUUGAUUUUUAGUUUGAUGGAACAUGCCUUAAUCUAGUAGUGCUGAAUUAUGGUUCCAAAAAUUGUAAGCAAAAAAAAAAAAACCAGAAUCCUUUGAAUCCAAAUUCCUUUAGCUUUCCAAUGUAAAGCACUGCCAUCUUAAGUAAAAACUGACCCAGUAUCUACCUUCUGUAGGUGCUAGGAAUCUACUUCCCAGCUAGGAAUCUACUUGCCCAGCCUUUCUUGUGUAGCAAAUAAAAGCUUUCCUGCAAACCUCUCUGGAAUUAUAGCAGGUGCUACUGUCAGCUAUUUGAGACAGAAAAUUACUUUUCCCAAGCACUCCUAGUUCAUUGCCCAUCCCCACCACUGCCAGUAUUCCUGUGGUCUCUCCCAUUUUUUCUGCCUGGUAGAGUAAAUCCAGUGUACAGAAAGGGAUGCUAUAAUGCUGCAGCUGGGCAAAUGCAGGCAAAUGUUCCCUUUCCUGAAGCCACAGUCUGACAGCAUUCACUCCAUGUUCUCUCAGUACUCCCUAAUGCCUUCUUCAUCUGCCUCUCCAAAUUCCCUCUACUUCUCAUUUCCACUUGGCUUUAACAGCUUAUUCAUGUAUCCCUGUUGAGCUCAUUUUGCCCCAGAUCCCAAGCCACCGUACUCAGCUACCCAUUGGUUGUUCUCACAGUGAACAUCAUCACUAGAGAGAGAGAAAAAAAAAAUCAAAACGUUGCUUUGAUAGCCUUGUAUUGGGGAACAGGUUGUACCACCCUAUCCAAGAAUGUUUGGCUGGUGCAACCAUCAUUAACUUGCAAUUUUAUUGUGAGGCUCCCUGGUAGCAGGUGGUAAGCACUGGCACUGGAAGUGAGAAUGGGGAGGGGGCUGUCCACAGUUGUGUCGAGGACAAGUAGUGGACCCUCUCACUGCUAAUAAGCAGCCAGUUAGUCAGUCCCAUGGUAGGGAGGAGCCUCGUUCUGGUGACUCAGAGCUCACUGGAGCAGAACGCUGAAGAAGCAGCUUCAGGCUCAGACUCUUAAUACAGGGAUUCAAGUUAGAGCUCUGCCACUUAUAAGCAAUAAAAUCACUCUGGGCCACUGUUUUUUCAACUGUGUAAUGGAGGUAUGAUGCCCACAUUCUACGUAAUUAUAUGAAAUUGUAUAGCUAAAUGGACUAUUCACCUAUGGCACCAUUUAAGCAUUAUCCUCAGAUAUCUUCCUGUGGAGAUAAUUAUUCUAACAAAUGGGUGUGGCAUGCCUCAGCCUCCCCUGAGCUUCCCAUCUGCCUGACUAUAAUUACCUGUGGAUAUCUCCUAUGUGGUCUACUGACACACUAAACUUGGGAUUUCUAAUCAUUGCCUAAAGUUUGACACAAGUCAGCAUUUCUAUUGAAAUGCAGUUUUCCCCUCAAUGGCACCAAUAUCCCCAGGCUGAGAGUCUCAGUGCCAUCUGACUCCUUACCCGCCAUUUCCCAAGUUCAAUUAGUUGUCAAGUCAUUUACUUUCUACAGUAUGAUUGUCCAGGGCUUCCUCCAUUGCAAAGUCUUUGGUAAAGGCUCAUCUUUGAAACCACAAGGCUGUAAAUGACCUCAGUGGCCAAACACCUCUGAUGUGUCAUCUCAUCACAUGUCCCAGGUGUUGGGUUUCUUCUGGCUCUCUGGCAAAGGGCACUUCCUGGGGAAGACCACCCAGCCUGUCAGUGUACAUAAUUAGAAAAGUCUUUUUGUUGAGACAAAAGUCGGCCUUCCCAUACAUUCACUCUUUCUCCUUAGCUCAUUCUUUAUAGAAACCUUUUACAAAUUAUAUACCAGGCACAGAGGAUAUAACAGAGAACACUGUUAAGGCCCCUACCUUCAUGGAGCUUAUAUUUUAGAGAGACUGAUCAUGAUCAAACACAAUAGAUAAAUUUUAUAGUCUAUCAGAAAAUGAAAAGUGCAGGUUUGGACCACCAAGAACCUGCCUAGUUAGUGUAAUUACAAAGGAUAUCUCCAGUCCAAGAUCCUCAAUCUGUUUCCAAUCCCCACAAGGCCAUGAGAACUUGACACUCCUAGCAAUAUGACACCAGAGUGCUCUUUUAUUCCCUGUGGGUUCCCUGGCUAGUGUACUCACUUUUGAAGCCAGUCUGGCCUGCAAAAUCCUAAUAUUCUUCAUAAUGUUUACUGGAAUCAUGUAGAGGCAAUGUGGUUCCCGAACACAUUUCACAGAGUAAACAUUUUGCAAAGCAUGAAUAAGGUUAACCUUCCAUAUGACUGCAUAUGUCCUUUUUCUCCCUUGGUUUAGUCCACUACUGUGAUUAUAAUGAUACACAUUUUUUAGUAAUCAUGGUGGCCUUUUUAAAAGAAAAGUUGAUUGCUUUCUUCACAGGUCUCAAUAAGUAAGUUUAUUUCUUGUGAGUUCUUGAUGCUGUAUGUGUAGGAUCAACCCAAAAAUCUACUGGAAAAUCCCCACAUGGAUCACAUUAUUCAUAACAGCUUGACUCCCAAGCAUUUCUGCAUUACAACCCAAUAUCAUAAAUAAAAUGAAUAAUAAAAUAUAAAAAGUAUACAGAGCAAAAUCUGAAAGUGGAAAGUGAAG
ensembl:lncRNA novel transcript